rnacentral:rRNA from 1 species
AGAGUUUGAUCCUGGCUCAGGACGAACGCUGGCGGCGUGCUUAACACAUGCAAGUCGAGCGAUGAAGCUUCCUUCGGGAAGUGGAUUAGCGGCGGACGGGUGAGUAACACGUGGGUAACCUGCCUCAAAGUGGGGGAUAGCCUUCCGAAAGGAAGAUUAAUACCGCAUAAUAUAAGAGAAUCGCAUGAUUUUCUUAUCAAAGAUUUAUUGCUUUGAGAUGGACCCGCGGCGCAUUAGCUAGUUGGUAAGGUAACGGCUUACCAAGGCAACGAUGCGUAGCCGACCUGAGAGGGUGAUCGGCCACAUUGGAACUGAGACACGGUCCAGACUCCUACGGGAGGCAGCAGUGGGGAAUAUUGCGCAAUGGGGGAAACCCUGACGCAGCAACGCCGCGUGGGUGAUGAAGGUCUUCGGAUUGUAAAGCCCUGUUUUCUAGGACGAUAAUGACGGUACUAGAGGAGGAAGCCACGGCUAACUACGUGCCAGCAGCCGCGGUAAUACGUAGGUGGCGAGCGUUGUCCGGAUUUACUGGGCGUAAAGGGUGCGUAGGCGGAUGUUUAAGUGGGAUGUGAAAUCCCCGGGCUUAACCUGGGGGCUGCAUUCCAAACUGGAUAUCUAGAGUGCAGGAGAGGAAAGCGGAAUUCCUAGUGUAGCGGUGAAAUGCGUAGAGAUUAGGAAGAACACCAGUGGCGAAGGCGGCUUUCUGGACUGUAACUGACGCUGAGGCACGAAAGCGUGGGUAGCAAACAGGAUUAGAUACCCUGGUAGUCCACGCCGUAAACGAUGGAUACUAGGUGUAGGGGGUAUCAACUCCCCCUGUGCCGCAGUUAACACAAUAAGUAUCCCGCCUGGGGAGUACGGUCGCAAGAUUAAAACUCAAAGGAAUUGACGGGGGCCCGCACAAGCAGCGGAGCAUGUGGUUUAAUUCGAAGCAACGCGAAGAACCUUACCUGGACUUGACAUCCCUUGCAUAGCCUAGAGAUAGGUGAAGCCCUUCGGGGCAAGGAGACAGGUGGUGCAUGGUUGUCGUCAGCUCGUGUCGUGAGAUGUUAGGUUAAGUCCUGCAACGAGCGCAACCCUUGUUAUUAGUUGCUACCAUUAAGUUGAGCACUCUAAUGAGACUGCCUGGGUAACCAGGAGGAAGGUGGGGAUGACGUCAAAUCAUCAUGCCCCUUAUGUCCAGGGCUACACACGUGCUACAAUGGUAGGUACAAUAAGACGCAAGACCGUGAGGUGGAGCAAAACUUAUAAAACCUAUCUCAGUUCGGAUUGUAGGCUGCAACUCGCCUACAUGAAGCUGGAGUUGCUAGUAAUCGCGAAUCAGAAUGUCGCGGUGAAUACGUUCCCGGGCCUUGUACACACCGCCCGUCACACCAUGAGAGCUGGUAACACCCGAAGUCCGUGAGGUAACCGUAAGGAGCCAG